rnacentral:rRNA from 1 species
UACGUAGGGUGCGAGCGUUGUCCGGAAUUACUGGGCGUAAAGAGCUCGUAGGUGGUUUGUCGCGUUGUUCGUGAAAACCUGAGGCUUAACCUUGGGCGUGCGGGCGAUACGGGCAGACUGGAGUACUGCAGGGGAGACUGGAAUUCCUGGUGUAGCGGUGGAAUGCGCAGAUAUCAGGAGGAACACCGGUGGCGAAGGCGGCAUCCUGGACCGACACUGACGCUGAGGAGCGAAAGCCAGGGGAGCAAACGGG